UCAAUUAAAAUAGAAUAGAAUUUCAGUUUCCUGGUAUGAAAUACCGAGCAAAUAAAAAUGUUAACAAAGCCGAGAUAUGAUUCAUUGAGGAAAUUCUUGCUAAGUUUUUUACUGGCAGCUUAAUUAAGAACGAUAUACCCCUUGUAAACGUUAAGAACGUUAUGAAGCCAUGAAAGUCUCGCGUUUUUCUCAUCGUUUUGGUCGCCAUGGAAGACCGCGUGUCCUUCAUGGAAUACACUUUGCAGUUAUUUCAAUUUCACCGUUUCUCUUCCAAGUCAGUUAUUGAUAGGAUUUCCAAGAAAUAUGAUGGAUCCUCGAAAUGGCGUCGAAGAGGAUAUUGACGAGAGUGAUAUUUCGAAAGUCGAUGGAACAUCGCCGGAGCGAGAGUCAUACGUUAUAGGGGCAAAUUCCAGAAAUAAGAGAGACAAUUUGCUAUAUGACUUCCGUGGAAUAAAACGUAACGAGGGUGACAUUUGUCGAAGGAGGAUCAUUUGAACUGGCUAUUACAGAAACGGAAUGAAACAAUGGCGACUAUAGUCUACAGUCUGUCUUUCCCUUUGGGAAGAAGGAAAUGUCAGUUCUUGUCUAGUCGAGUCCUUUAAAGGAAGAAGAAGAAGAAGAAGAAGAAGAAAAAAAAUAAGGAAAGGAAGGCUUAACAUCUGUUGUAGAAAGAAGAAGUUUUGGAGUUGAGGAAAAGAAAAAUAGAAGGAUGAAGCAUAGAAUUCCAAAAAUAAUUAGAAGUUUUCUGUGAACGACGAACACACGUUUCUCGGUUAAUAAAACCUUGAUCGAGCAUCGACGGUCUACACCGACAAGAGAAAAAGAGGCAGAGAGAUAGAGAUAGAUAGAUAGAGAAGGAGAGAGAGAGAAAGAGAGAGAAAGAGAGAGAGCUGCGUGAAAUUUGAGCUCACUGAAGUGCGGUAGCCUUCGAUCCUAUAUUUCGUUGUUCGUCGAUAAAGAGAAAGAGAGACACAAAGAGAAAGACUCGUUGAGGCUCGGCGUUCGACAAUGGGCAAUUUUCUCUGACCGGACGAGAAGUUUCGUGGUCAGCCUCGACUACGAUUAGAUAGGAACCAGGGUAAUGGCGGGAGGUUCAAUCUGCAUUCGUAAUGACGAACGUGGAAGGUGACACAGUGUCUGACCUCGGUGCAGUGACAUCGGCCAUCUAUUAACCCCUGAAGCCAUACGCCUGCUCUCGGUUCUCUGUCAUGGAGAGGAAGAGAGGAUGAGAGAGAGAGAGAGAGAGAGAGAGAGAGAGAGAGAGAGAAGGAGUACCAACCAGUUGGACCUCCCUUUGCCACCCUGCUAAUGACCUCUUUGAACAUUGUCACCAUCCUACUAUUCUUAUCAUCAUUUCUCUUUUGAUUCAAUUCUAGAUAUUAAAAAAAAAAAAUGUAACGCUUUACGAGGAACGUUCGGGAGGAUUGUUCGAAAGUUUUAGGCCGCAGAGUAAAUACAUGCUAUGCGACUCGAUGCAGUGUACACUAAUGACGAAUAAGAGCAAAGUUUCACUGUGGCUUCGUGGGAGUGGUAAUGGUGGCCUUCCUCUUCCCACCAUUCACCCACCCACCACCUUCCAACCCGUGUGGAAUUCCAUAGCUAAUCUUAAGCAGAAUUAGCUUUCCAGUACUCGAUUGGAAACCACUGUAAUCACGUUUGCAUCACUGCAUUUAAUUCCGUAAACGAGAUUUUACCCGUUAUCCAUGAUCAUGAGAUGCAUGAGGUCAGACAGAGAUAUCAAUGAAUUAUUAUUCUUGUGGUCAACAUUGGCAUUCUGGCACCAUCCUAAUCCUGCUACAUGAUGGAUUUAAAUCCAAGCAUAUUUCGUGACCAUCCCAGUGGUUGACCUAUCCAAUAGAAAAUGGUUUUGGUCGAUAGCGAGAAGGUACAAACAACGUUCAAGGUACCAAGCGUCGCUUGGGGUUGCGCUUGGUUGGCGAUGCGCCACGCAUCAUUUGCCUCGAGAGUUAAUGCGAUAGCCAGACUCGCCGCUAGCCUAUCAGAUUAGAAAGUAUAAUGCUUAUGUUUUAUAGAUUCGUGAAGUCAGCGUGUAUGAUGAUGCUUUUUACAAGCUAAAAGGACAAACUAGAUUUUUCAAAUAAUAAGUAUAAAAGUAUAAAUAUAAGUAUAAAGAAAUAAGUAUAAAAUAUAGAGUAAAAACAUUUGUUCAUCUUCUCAUUGAAAUAGUUCACUUUGUAUACUCUAACAAAUUUCUAUUUUCUCAUUCAGUGAAUGAAAACUCAAAGUUUAUCACCAUAUGGUACUAUCUGUAUUUUUAUUUCAUCUCUAAGUUUCAAACAAAGAAAUUUACAUAGCUACCUACGACAGAUGCGAAAGUGGACACAUGUGCAUAACAGUGUGCUUUGAGCGAUCCUGAAAAUCCCAGAGGAUCCAGUGGUGGUUUUGAAGCUUCCCUUACUUACUAUCGAGAAUGCACUUUUCUUGUUUCGCACUUAAGACGAGUUUCCGGAUGCGAGAGCAUUACUUUCAAUAUGAACGCAUAUCGCUAUGAUAAAUUGUGCAGAACAAGUUGAAUGAGAGUCAACCGAUUCGAUUUGAAUCGAAUGUAAACGUAGAAACGAUCAGCUUAUAUGAAUUUUGAACAUAUUGGUCCAGCUCGAGGAGUUUUACAUUUAGAGAGAGAGAGAGAGAGAGAGAGAGAGAGAGAAACGAGCGAUUUCAAACUACCUAGGAACUGUAAUUUUACAAAGUGACGUACCAACACUCGACGAUGUACGCCAGUGGAUGAAGGGAUCGGAGCAAGGGUGCACACUGCACAACCCUCAUCAGCAACGGUAUUGCCGCGAUAGCGGAGCUACUCGUCAAAUAUUUACUUUAGAGGAUGCUGGUGCCAGGCAACGGGAGUAUCUCAGUUGUCGAGUAGGAGGAAGGAAGAGAAAGAGGACGCUGUUGGAUAGUCCAAUGCGUUAUACAUAGUUUCGUAAAAACGUUUAGUCAUUCGAUAUUUUAGUAUUGACUAUAAUUUUGUUUUUUUUUUGUUUUUUUUUUUUUCCAAUUUUCACGUCGACUACUAUCAUAGAUUUCUCUGACUUCGUUUGUUACUAUAAUAAGAAAGCUAUGCAAACACGAAUAAUACUCUAAAUGAUUAGGAAACCUUGAGAACUAGCUGGAUAGUCGAACAUUAAAUAUUCAGCAACUAUUUUGUUCUCUGUAGACACACCAAAGAAGGACUUUGAAAUGUAGAAAGGUUACUUUGUCUGCUUUGAGUAAGGAUGUUGAUUGGAAGGAUCAAAGUCUACAUAAGUCCAGGGUAUUUAAUUGCUCGACCAUAGAAGCAGAUACUAAUUCAAGUUUGAAGACUUUCUUUUUUAAUUUUUCCCUCUGUUUCUCUUAAUUACUAAUUUCGUAUUACUUCCCGAAGGGUGCGUAUAAAUGUACACAUUUUUUUUUUUUUAUAAAUCUUUAAUCAAAUCUAAAGUCUUAUUAUAUUUUUAAAUACAACUGCAGAGAGUAUUUUAUUCAAUCUUCAUC